rnacentral:rRNA from 1 species
AACGUAGGAAGCGAGCGUUAUCCGGAUUUACUGGGCGUAAAGCGUGUGUAGGCGGUUUGACAAGUUGGAUGUGAAAGCUCCUGGCUUAACUGGGAGAGGUCGUUCAAAACUGUCAGACUCGAGAGUGGUAGAGGGAGGUGGAAUUCCGGGUGUAGUGGUGAAAUGCGUAGAUAUCCGGAGGAACACCAGUGGCGAAAGCGGCCUCCUGGCCCAUUUCUGACGCUCAGACACGAAAGCUAAGGUAGCAAACGGA